CAAACCUAGCCCCCAAUCCCCUUCUGCCCCGAGCCGUGCAGCGAGCGACAGCGAAAGGAACACUCCCCACGCGCACGAACCCUAGCCGCCGCUCUCCUCUCCCGCGACCCCCAACCACCACCGCUCCUCUCUCCUCUGCCUCGACUCCCAACCAUCCAACCCAAACUCCGGCGGCCUCCUCUCCCUCCAGCACCGCCGCUCCAGCCUCACCUUCCUUCCUCUCCAAAGGAAGGGAAGGGAAGUGAAGGGGAGGGGAGGCUCCAGAUCGAGCGGAGCCGACCAAAUCGGGCUCCUGCAGAAGAGCUCGCCUCCUCCCUCACAAAAGCGGCGACCGAGAGAGAGGGCAAGGGCGCGAACGAGAAGGGAAGGGAUGGAAUGGGAGAAGGGAAGGGUGCGAACCAGGGCAGUGGAGGCGCAGGGCGCGAACGAGAGGAUUAGGUUGAGCAUACCGCCGACGACAUCGUUUCAAGCUCAAGAUGGUCUACAGAUACGUGCAACAAUUGAGGUUUCAUGUGCAAGGAAGCAAAGAAGAUGUGAGACCGUUUUUUUUUUGGAAUAGAAGAAUCAAAGGAUACACCGACAAAGUCAGUCUGAACUUCGAUUAAAUAUGAUAUGCGUGUUUACAAAUCUUUCCUUCAUGAAUAUUUUGGGGUUUCAUGUGCAAGGAAGCAAAGAAGAUGUGAGACCAUUUUUUUUUGGAAUAGAAGAAUCAAAGGAUACACCGACAAAGUCAGUCUGAACUUCGAUUAAAUAUGAUAUGCGUGUUUACAAAUCUUUCCUUCAUGAAUAUUUUGAAACCUUCAGAUUAUGCUAUUACUGUGGGAUUUUUUAGUGUCCUGGAAAAGGCAUACAUGCUGAUAUGUGUUUUCUGGCAGAGCAGUCUUCAACAUUGACGGUUACCAUUUUUAUUUUUUAUCUCAGCUCGUGAGAUUUCUCUACUGUCCUGACACAAAUUUACUCUGUAUGAUGAAUCCAAGGCCCGGUAUAAGGAUUUCCUGAUUUAUUAUUUGCCGCAUCUGGUGUUUCUCAUCUUAACAUGAAUUUGAAGUGUCACCUUUUGCAUCCAAGUAAUACUAUUGGUUCACAUUGAUCCUAUCUACCAUGUACCAACUCACUCACUUUUCUAAAUACUGAUAUGGAAUUAACCUUUAGUUACAACCCUAUUUGGUUUUGAGUUACAAAAUGUCCUUUUUUAAGACUUUUCUUCUUAACACGUUGCGUUAACAGCUCAUCCACUGAGGAUUUUGAAAUAUGAUAGUACUCUUCCUCUGUUUUCUUUAUCUUUUAUUUACAAGUUAGUUCUAUUGUGAGGAGAAGCUUUGGAAGUGGUUAAUCAGUUCACUAAGAUAAUUUGAGGUCGACGAGCAGAUUGAUUGCUCAUAUAUCCACCUUAAGAUGGCCACAACGUAUUUCAGAUUUUAGCACAUUAGCUGCCAUCGUUUUGUGAUUUCAGAAAUAUAUUUCAUGUGCUGGAUGGCCUCACUCUUUUAUUGGGUUGUUUUCAGUUAAAGGUUAGAAGACAUGCCAAAUAAUGCAUACUUCUCAAUCAAAUGAACAGACAUGCUAUCCGCCGAGCUUCAAGACUGAAGGGAUAGAUAACCACAACUUCUAAUGACCUAUACCAGCGAUUGAUUGUAGCAUACUGGAUUCCUAAUGCUGACAGGAAUAGCCGCCAUGGCGAUAUUUACAGGCUGUGCACUGAGAUCGAAUAGUCUACAUCAUGCCUCUGGUCGGAACAAAUAAAAAAAAUUGUGUGCUGGACUGAACACACUUGGGAUUUCUGUUUCCUGUAACAUUUUAUUUGGGGAGUUUGUGACUUCUAGACCUGAAUGGUUGUGCAUGGACCAGAAUAUGAAUGAAGGAUACUUUAGUAACAUUUAUGUAGAGAUCCGCAGCGGCACCGGCACCAGCGCGCCGUCGUCCACCUGGUCCUCGAGGAAGGCCAUGGAUGGGGGCAGAACCCUAGCCCCACACCCAUCCAUCACGGCGGUGGCCUUCUCUCGGUGGGGUGGGGAGCGAAGUUUUCUGAUGUGGUGGCCCUCGACGCCUGCGACGGGCUACAACACCUUGGCUUCAAAGGUACAUAUUGAAGGAUGUUCUGAGGCUAGCACCUGGUUUAGAAGUUUUGCAAUUCACAACAAUACCUCAUAAUUUUGAUUUGAUGUCCAGAAUGUCAAUUGAAGAAUGAGCCUACAAACUACAUUGUAGUUUGUAAUAUAUCCUUAUAUAUGGUGCUUGUGUGUUUUUUUCAAUUAUAAGUUUGCAUUUAUGGGCAUUACAAAGUCCCCCUUUCUUUUUCCACAAGGGGCAGUAGCUGUGCCAUUCGAUUCGAAGGACAAAGAGUUGAUCACAAUGGGGUAGCAUUCAGGAUAUAUACACAAGAGUAUAGAACCAAAUUAUAUGAUGUAAUUGACCACUAUUUCUAUUAACUUUUCUUGUACACAAUGUUCACAAGUUCAUGUAUUAGGUACAUUUUAUUGUUUACUCUUUUUUAAUGCAAGUUUACA
rnacentral:rRNA from 1 species